UACAGAGGUCUCAAGCGUUGUUCGGAUUCAUUGGGCGUAAAGGGUGCGUAGGCGGCGCGGUAAGUCGGGUGUGAAAUCUCGGAGCUUAACUCCGAAACUGCAUUCGAUACUGCCGGUGCUUGAGGACUGGAGAGGAGACUGGAAUUUACGGUGUAGCGGUGAAAUGCGUAGAUAUCGUAAGGAAGACCAGUGGCGAAGGCGGGUCUCUGGACAGUUCCUGACGCUGAGGCA
rnacentral:rRNA from 1 species